UCUAGCAUCUAAACGACAUCGUCCAACUAACAUUGCUCCUCAAAAUUGCUCUAGAAAGGCGCAAUUGUUGCAAGUAGUGGUAGUUUAAGAAAAGGAUGAACACUAGAUCGUGAAGCUAUGAUGCUCAGUUCCCGUGCAUGUUUUUAAAAUUUUUAAAUAUAUAAACCCUCAAUAUUUCGUCUUUAGAAGCUGUUGCUUUUCGAAAAUGGCAAUAAGCUCAGACCUAGGGCAAUCACAAGAAGUAGCAUGCCACAAAC
rnacentral:lncRNA from 1 species